GACGAACGCUGGCGGCGUGCUUAACACAUGCAAGUCGAACGGAAAGGCCCUGCUUUUGUGGGGUGCUCGAGUGGCGAACGGGUGAGUAACACGUGAGUAACCUGCCCUUGACUUUGGGAUAACUUCAGGAAACUGGGGCUAAUACCGGAUAGGAGCUCCUGCUGCAUGGUGGGGGUUGGAACGUUUCGGCGGUUGGGGAUGGACUCGCGGCUUAUCAGCUUGUUGGUGGGGUAGUGGCUUACCAAGGCUUUGACGGGUAGCCGGCCUGAGAGGGUGAACGGGGACAAGGGGACUGAGGGAGGGAGCAGACUGGUAUGGGAGGCAGCAGUGGGAAGUAUGACCCAGCGGGCGGAAGCCUGAGAAGGAGGCGCCGGGUGCGGGAAGACGGCUUUCGGGUUGUGAACCGCUGUCGGCUGAGACGAAGCUUGAGUGACGGUAACGGGUAAAGAAGCACCGGCUAACUACGUG
rnacentral:rRNA from 1 species